GCAAUGCGGAGACUACCAUGCAAGUCGGACGGUAGCACAGAGAGCUUGGUCCCGUGUGAGAGUGGGGGAGAGGGGAGUAAAGUCUGGGGAUCUGCCCCAUAUAGGGGGAGAUCCCCUGUGAACGGUGGCUAAUACCCCACAACGUCUCACGACCAAAGAGGGGGACCUUCUGGCCUCUCACUAUCUGAUGAGCCCCCAUGGGAUUAUCUAUUAUGCGGGGUAAUGGGCCCCCUAUGCGACAAUACCUAUCUGGGCUGAGAGGAUGACCCCCCCCACUGUGACUGAGACACGGUCCCCACUCCCACAGGAGGCGCCACUGGGGAAUAUUGUGCAAUGGGCGCACGCCUGAUGCGCCCCUGCCCCGUGUGUGAAAAAAGCCUUCUGGUUGUAAAGUACUUUCUCCGGGGAGGAAAGCGAUGCGGUUAAUAACCCCGUCUAUUGAGGUUACCCCCACAAAAAACACCGGCUAACUCCCUGCCCCCACCCGCGGUAAUACAGAGGGGGCGCGCGUUAUUCUCAAUUACUGGGCGUAAAGCGCACGCGCGCGGUCUGUGAAAUCUCAUAUGAAAUCCCCGGGCUUAACCUGGGAACUGCGUUUGUAACUGGGAGGCUUGAGUCUUGUGUAGAGGGGUAUAAAUCUCGGUGUGUCGCUGAAAUGCGUAUAGAUCUGGAGGAAUACAGGUGUCGAAAGCGCCCCCCUGUACACAGACAGAGACUCUCGUGCGAGAGCGUGUGGAGCACACACGAGUAUAUACACUGUGAUUCUACGCCGCAUACGAUAUGUACAUGUAGAUUGUGCUCUUGAGAAGAGUGUCCUCGAGCUCACACGCUAAGUCUACAGCGUGUGGAGUACAGCGCGCGGUUAUAACUCUCAUGUAUUGACAGGGGCGCGCACACGCGCUGUAGCAUGUGUUUUAUAUCGAUGCACACGCAGAGCCUAUCCUCUCCUC
rnacentral:rRNA from 1 species